AAGAAAAGAGUGUUGCAAAGACUAGUGGAAAGAAGGAAAAUAUCAACUCCCACCACCCUUUGCUCCCUCUCUUUACAGCCACCAAGAGCUUUCUCCAAAGAGCAUAGAAGCCUCCACUUCGUUCAGCCAAGUUCUCAAGUUCCAGUUCAUUCGACACGCCGUAUCCGAAAAGCAAGUUAAAACAUUCAUUCAAUUCUCUGCCAAACUUUAAGUUCUUUUAACUCAAAAGCUUCAACAGCCACCCAAACACAAAGCAAUCACAGGUCAAGCGCGAGAGUAAGAACUACACAAGGAGUUAGAGUACCUUAGCAAAACUUUGCUAUCAGGUUGAGCUGUGAUGGGCGAUGAAGUGUUGUUGCUGAGUGGAGUUUUUGUCGAACCUAAAGUAGGCUCAGAAAGGAUACAUGUCUUCAUACAUGUAUCUCAGUUAUGCUUUCCGCUGUAAACACUGAUUAUUUCAGUUACGCCUUCCGUUGCAAACUCUGAUAAUGUUUUAGCC